rnacentral:rRNA from 2 species
GGAAGCGAUCAUACCAGCACUAAAGCACCAGAUCCCAUUAGAACUCCGAAGUUAAGUGUGCUUGGGCGAGAGUAGUACUAGGAUGGGUCCUCGUGUUGCAUUCC